AUGGACGGCAACGGCGUAGCCCUCCCCAGCGACCUCCUCCUCGAAAUCCUCAGGCGCCUCCCCGGCCACGCCCUCGCCGUGUCCCACUGUGUCUGCCGCGCGUGGCGCGACCUCGUCGGCGCCCACGCCCACACCCUCCUCCUCCCGCAGGUCUUCCCGCGCGAGUUCCCCGGCGUCUUCGCCACCUACGACGGCUACGACCCCGACUUCGCCUUCUUCGGCCCGCCGCCAUCGCCGUCGGCCGACGCCCACGUGCCCGGCUACCGGCGUCUCUUCUGGGACCAUUGGGAUUGCAUCGUAAAGCAGCACUCCAACGGCUUGCUCCUCGUCACGGGGAAGCGCUCGUUCAAUCCUAAUAUGAUAUACGUGUGCAACCCAGCCACGUCGCAGUAUGCCCGCUUGCCGUGUCCGCCGACACGCUGGCCGUGUAGCGUCGAGGGCGUGUUUCUCGCCUUUGACCCGGCCGUGUCGCGGCACUACGAGGUGUUCUUCUUACCCACGGAAAAGCUAGAUCGCAACGAUGAGCAAGAUGAGUGGACACGCCGACCGUGCCCGUGCUGGAUCGAUUGGGAGGACACGUGGCUACCCAACUUGUUUGGACAAGACGAACCAUUCUCUGAAUCUAAGGAAGAGCCCAACCAAAAGGUGCCCAAGGAGAAUGUAUUCCACGUGUUGGUGUUCUCUUCACGGACAGGCCAGUGGGAGAGCCGCAAGUUCACGCCAGGGCGCCGCGCCUCGGGAAACCUGUACGAUGUGGUGACCACGCCGCUCUAUAAGGAUCUGCGCACGUGGUGGUCGGCCGAGUACUGGCAUGGCUCACUCUACGUGCACUGCCAUAGUGGUGUCCUCGUGAUCCUGCGUUGCUCGGAGGGGACAUGCCAGAUGGUUCAGCUUCCAGGGCAUCCUUAUGGCCGCAAGAGAUUGCGUCAAUGA
rnacentral:rRNA from 1 species